rnacentral:rRNA from 1 species
AUGGAACUCUCCUUGGCCUCAUCCCUUCCCCUCCUCCUCCUGCCGCUCCUCCCUCUUCUCUACUUUCUCUACCUGCGGCCGGACCCCAAGAAGCAGCCUCGCGGCCAUGGCCUCAAGGUCUACCCCAUCCUCGGCACGCUGCCGCACUUCGUCAAGAACCAGGACCGCUUCCUCGAGUGGUACACCGGCGUCAUGCAGGGCAGCCCCACGCACACCCUGGCCUUCAAGGUGCCCGGCCUCACCGGCGGCGCCAUCACCGCCGACCCGGCAUGCGUCGAGCACAUACUCAAGGCCAACUUCGCGAACUACCCCAAGGGCGAGCUCUCGGUCUCCAUGCUCCAGGACUUCCUCGGCCACGGCAUCUUCAACUCCGACGGCGAGCAGUGGCUGUGGCAGCGCAAGGCCGCCAGCUACGAGUUCAACAAGCGCUCGCUGAGGAACUUCGUGGUGGACGCCGUCCGCUUCGAGGUCGUCGAGCGGCUGCUGCCGCUGCUGGACCGCGCGGGGCGCGACGGGCGGACGCUGGAGGUGCAGGACGUGCUGGAGCGCUUCGCGUUCGACAACAUCUGCCGCGUGGCCUUCGGCGAGGACCCGGCCUGCCUCGCCGAGGAGGGCAUGGCCGCGCCCGAGAGCGCCGAGUUCAUGGCCGCGUUCAACGACGCGCAGAACACCAUCAUGGCCCGGUUCAUGUCGCCCGCCAAGUGGCUGUGGCGCGUCAAGAGGCUGCUCGACAUGGAGCCGGAGAGGCGGAUGCGGUCGGCGCUCGCCACGAUCCACGGCUACGCCGACAAGAUCGUCCGUGAGCGCAAGGAGAGAGGGGAGGCUGGGCUGGCGAGCAGGGACGACUUCCUGUCGCGCUUCGCCGCGGCCGGCGAGCACAGCGACGAGAGCCUCCGCGACGUGGUGACCAACUUCAUCCUCGCCGGCCGCGACACGACCUCGUCCGCGCUGACCUGGUUCUUCUGGCUGGUGUCCACGCGGCCCGACGUGGAGGACAAGAUCACGCGCGAGAUCCGCGCCGUGCGCGCGUCGGGCGACGGCGAGGAUGCGUCGACUUUCAGCUUCGACGAGCUGCGCGAAAUGCACUACCUCCACGCGGCCAUCACGGAGUCGAUGCGGCUGUACCCGCCGGUGGCCGCCGACACGCACAGCUGCAAGGAGGACGACUUCCUCCCGGACGGCACGUUCGUCGGGAAAGGGUGGCUGAUGACGUACUGCGCGUUCGCCAUGGCGCGGCUGGAGGGCGUGUGGGGCAAGGACUGCGAGGAGUUCAGGCCGGAGCGGUGGCUCGACGAGGAGGGCGCGUUCCGGCCGGAGAGCCCGUUCAAGUACGCGGUGUUCCACGCGGGGCCGAGGAUGUGCCUCGGCAAGGAGAUGGCCUACAUUCAGAUGAAGUCCAUCGUGGCGUGCGUGCUGGAGAGGUUCAGCCUCCGGUACGCCGGCGGCGAGGGGCAUCCCAGGCUCAUAAUGUCACUGACGCUGCGGAUGGGAGGCGGCCUGCCGAUGCAGGUCAAGAGCAGAACAGGGGAGGCUAACGCCUAG